UACGGGGGGGGCAAGCGUUGUUCGGAAUUACUGGGCGUAAAGGGCUCGUAGGCGGCCAACUAAGUCGGAUGUGAAAUCCCCAGGCUUAACCUGGGAACUGCAUCCGAUACUGGAUGGCUUGAAUCCGGGAGAGGGAUGCAGAAUUCCAGGUGUAGCGGUGAAAUGCGUAGAUAUCGGAAGGAACGUCGAUGGCGAAGGCAGCCCCCUGGCAUAAUACUGACGCUGAGGCGCGAGAGCGUGGGGAGCGAACAGG
rnacentral:rRNA from 1 species